rnacentral:rRNA from 1 species
AGUCGAGCGGUAGAGAGGUGCUUGCACCUCUUGAGAGCGGCGGACGGGUGAGUAAAGCCUAGGAAUCUGCCUGGUAGUGGGGGAUAACGCUCGGAAACGGACGCUAAUACCGCAUACGUCCUACGGGAGAAAGCAGGGGACCUUCGGGCCUUGCGCUAUCAGAUGAGCCUAGGUCGGAUUAGCUAGUUGGUGAGGUAAUGGCUCACCAAGGCGACAAUCCGUAACUGGUCUGAGAGGAUGAUCAGUCACACUGGAACUGAGACACGGUCCAGACUCCUACGGGAGGCAGCAGUGGGGAAUAUUGGACAAUGGGCGAAAGCCUGAUCCAGCCAUGCCGCGUGUGUGAAGAAGGUCUUCGGAUUGUAAAGCACUUUAAGUUGGGAGGAAGGGCAUUAACCUAAUACGUUAGUGUUUUGACGUUACCGACAGAAUAAGCACCGGCUAACUCUGUGCCAGCAGCCGCGGUAAUACAGAGGGUGCAAGCGUUAAUCGGAAUUACUGGGCGUAAAGCGCGCGUAGGUGGUUCGUUAAGUUGGAUGUGAAAUCCCCGGGCUCAACCUGGGAACUGCAUUCAAAACUGUCGAGCUAGAGUAUGGUAGAGGGUGGUGGAAUUUCCU